rfam:Erwinia mallotivora strain BT-MARDI contig_75, whole genome shotgun sequence.
UGUAUGAUGCGCAAGCCAGCCCCCGUUAAGACCUUAUGGCACGGUGGCAGCGUGCAGCCUGGCUGCAUCUGAAUCAUCAUCCGGUUAAG